rnacentral:miRNA from 1 species
GUGCUCCCUUCAAACCAAUAA